AUGUUUGGUGCUACAAUUACAGUCCUACGAAGUAUAGCAAAUGAUUGUUCGGUCACCAAAUAUUCCCGUGGAGAUGCUGGAGGCGCCCUAAGGAUAAUUAUUUCUUUUGAUUUUGUGUUCAUUUUGCACCUCAUGGAGAGGAUUAUGAAAAUCACAGAUGUCUUGUGCCAAACACUCAAGAAGAAAUCUUUGGACAUUUUGAAUGCAUUAGAUACAGUCUCGAACACUGAGGUGCUCCUCGCUGAUCUAAGAGAAGUAUGGGAACCUCUCUUAGAGGUGGUUAAGACCUUUUGUAUGAAGCAUGAAUUUGAGAUCCCCGAUAUGAGUUGCAAGUAUGUUGACUAA
rnacentral:rRNA from 1 species